rnacentral:ncRNA from 2 species
UAAAGAAUACAAUGCGCAAGUGCCUGUGCCGCCGGUUGGGCGGCGCGGGAGAAUAGUGAAUCAGGUGUGAAUCCUGAACGGUACCGCCGCUGUAUACGGGGAGGCCGCGCACAUGGGACGAAAGUCCGUCACUGGGAAACCGGGAAGACCGUGCGCCGCUGCUGAUCCGCCAGUCAGAAGACCUGCUUGCCGCCAUGCUGUCCC